rnacentral:rRNA from 1 species
UACGGAGGGUGCAAGCGUUAAUCGGAAUUACUGGGCGUAAAGCGUGCGCAGGCGGUUUGUUAAGUCCGCUGUGAAAUCCCCGAGCUCAACUUGGGAAUUGCAGUGGAUACUGGCAGGCUGGAGUAUGGUAGAGGAAGGUGGAAUUCCCGGUGUAGCAGUGAAAUGCGUAGAGAUCGGGAGGAACACCAGUGGCGAAGGCGGCCUUCUGGACCAAUACUGACGCUCAUGCACGAAAGCGUGGGGAGCAAACAGG